rnacentral:rRNA from 1 species
UACGUAGGGUGCAAGCGUUAAUCGGAAUUACUGGGCGUAAAGCGUGCGCAGGCGGUUGUGCAAGACCGAUGUGAAGCCCCGGGCUUAACCUGGGAACUGCAUUUGUGACUGCAUGGCUAGAGUGCGGCAGAGGGGGAUGGAAUUCCGCGUGUAGCAGUGAAAUGCGUAGAUAUGCGGAGGAACACCGAUGGCGAAGGCAAUCCCCUGGGCCUGCACUGACGCUCAUGCACGAAAGCGUGGGGAGCAAACAGG